rnacentral:lncRNA from 1 species
CUGAUCCAGUACUUGAUGCAGGAGUUCACAACCCUGCCUGUGGCAUGAGGAUUGAAACUUGAUCCUUGAGGUCUCUUCCAACCCAAGCUAUUCUAUGAUUCUAUAUUUGUAUGAUGGAAACUUAGUUCUACUUCAGGAGACAUGUUAGCAGUUGGAUAUUAUGUCGUCAACAGUGUUCACCAUAAACAGGUUUGUAGUCAAAAUGUCUGCAGCAAGUGGGAGUUUUGGACAGAGGAAGGCCCUCCAUAGGGCUCCCUCAUCUGACUACAUCUUUGCCAUUUCGCCUGUUGUCAUGGAGAUGAUCUUAUCCUGUAAAUGCUUGAGACAAUUCUCAGCAUACCACAGAUAAAAUGUUUUUCCUUGGUCUGCUGUAACCUACCCCAUGGCUCAAACACUCCACAGACCAUGGUGAUCUGAAUAUAGCAGACAGAGUAAAUGAAGAGAAAGGAUGAGGAGGGGGAAUAAAAGAGAAAAUAUUUUGGAACUUGUAUAACUUAUGACAAUAUUAUGUUAAUCAUUACAGACAGAAAAAUAACCUAAGAUCAUAGUUUUAGUAUUUACAUUUGUAUUUUCCCCCACCCCAUGAAUCUGAAAGAAAUUAACGGGCAGUCAGUCCAGGAUCUAAGAGAUAAGUCCGAAAAUUGCAUAGCUUCAAACAAUUGAUUGGUCUUUUCCAUGAUUUCUCAUCUUAGCACAGUCCUCCACACCACGGCUCAAACAUCUCAUAAUUCAUCUUCAGUUAUGCUGAUUAGUACAUAAUGCCCAAAAAAUAAGAAAGUGAACAAACAAGCACAGCCUUUACACAUAAAAUAACAAUAUAAAAUAGAAGUAACACAGUAAUGAUUACAUUUUCCAUUUCUCCUUUGUGUGAAAGUCCAAAAGAAUGUAAGAUUUGUAUGUUGAAUAAUGUCCUGAAUGUAAUUAAGAUCAUCUUUGAUGGCAACUGAUUCAUUGGUUGCAUUAAAACAAUGCAUCACUGCAAAAUCUUGACAUCUGUGAUUAUGUCACAAUAGCAAAUAAUCUAUUAUCAAUCAAUUUUGUAAAAUUUGUCACUUUGUCACACUUCCCUCAUAUCCUUAUUAAGUGAUGCAAUCACUUUUGAGAUCCAAUUAAAUCCUUAUUGCCAAAUCGUAUGACACAUCUUCCAGCUGCCUAUAGUUAUGUCAGGUUAGAUUUCACAGUGAAGUUUUUUACUGAGAGAGUGAUGAUGGCUGUAACAGGCUACCUGCAGAGGUUGUGGAUGCCCCAUUCCUUGAAGUGUUUAAGGCUAGGUUGGAUGGGACCCUGAGCAAUCUGAUCUAGUACUUGAUCGAGUGGUUAGCAGCCCUGCCUGUGGCAGGAUGGUUAGAACUUGAUAACCCCUGAGGUCCCUUCCAACCCAGGCCAUUCUAUGAUGUACCACCAAUCUUGGGACCCUUAUCAAACUUAGCAUUAAUCCUGAUGCCUACCCAUCAGAAAAUAAAUUGACAUAAGUAUUACAAGAAUCAUCUGGAAUAUGUUCUGGAAACCUUUUCCUUGUAGCUAGGUAAUGGAGGGUAUUCAGAUUGUAAUUGAAUAAUAAUUUCACCAAUUG